rnacentral:rRNA from 1 species
GACGAACGCUGGCGGCGUGCCUAACACAUGCAAGUUGAGCGACGAACCAGGGCUUGCCCUGGGGCAAAGCAGCGAACGGGUGAGUAACACGUGGGUAACGUGCCCCGAAGACCGGGACAACCCGAGGAAACUCGGGCUAAUACCGGAUGUGGUCGCCGGACACCAGUCCGGCGAGCAAAGGAAGCUUCGGCCUCCGCUUCGGGAGCGGCCCGCGGCCCAUUAGCUAGUUGGUGAGGUAACGGCUCACCAAGGCCGCGAUGGGUAGCUGGUCUGAGAGGACGAUCAGCCACACUGGGACUGAGACACGGCCCAGACUCCUACGGGAGGCAGCAGUGGGGAAUCUUGCGCAAUGCGCGAAAGCGUGACGCAGCAACGCCGCGUGGGGGAAGAAGGCCUUCGGGUUGUAAACCCCUUUCAGGAGGGACGAAGGUUCGGCGGUGAACAGCCGUCCGGACUGACGGUACCUCCACAAGAAGCCCCGGCUAACUACGUGCCAGCCGCCGCCGUAAAAC